UCGAGGCAGAUUUCGGUUAGGACCGAGGCAGAUUUCGGUUAGUUUCGAGGCAGAUUUCGGUUAGUUUCGAGGCAGAUUUCAGUUAGGAUCGAGGCAGAUUUCGGUUAGGACCGAGGCAGAUUUCGGUUAGGACCGAGGCAGAUUUCGGUUAGUUUCGAGGCAGAUUUCAGUUAGGAUCGAGGCAGAUUUCGGUUAGGACCGUGGCAGAUUUCGGUUAGGACCGUGGCAGAUUUCGGUUAGGAUCGAGGCAGAUUUCGGUUAGGAUCGAGGCAGAUUUCGGUUAGCUUCGAGGCAGCAACAACUCACCUCUCGCGCAAAACUCACAUCAAACUUCAGCACAUGCGCACGGGUGACGUGUUGUUCGCCAACGAACAACGCCAAUGAACGGCUCUUUCUGAUGAACUUCGAGAACCGAAUAGCAUUGUGUGAAAGAGCCGUUCAUUCGAAUCCCUGCUCUGCAUUCUACUGCUUUUUGAGCUAAAACAAACAAUGUUUUUCUGCAGAUAAAUUACAACAUAGGUAUCUAAAGUGGGCGAAUCGUCACUGCAGAAACAAUAAAUUGUGUCGAGAGCGUGUCAAUCUGGUCCACUCUGAUUUUUUUUCAAUGCAUAAAAACAGAUGCACAAUCGAGAGCAUCCUGUC
ensembl:lncRNA